CACGUGUCAAAACCUCGCCUUGGUUCAUAAGUUUCCACUGACAGUCACAUGGGUUUAUUUUUUUCCUCAUGCUGUCUGACUCGUGAGCGAGGACUGAAUGGUCCUGUGGAGGGGAGAUUGGGAUGAAGAGGUUUGCAGUACUGUGAGCAGAGAAAAGAACUUAGAGACUUAUCUUCAAGAACACGGUCAUUCUCACUUGAGCCACCCCCUAGAGAUGGAUCACCUCAUUUUCCUGCAGAAGCUAUUUGAAGCUGGAAACAGGUUGCAAAGCCAGGCUCCAGGACUCCACCAAACUACAGUGAGAGCCAUUAUCUUGAAACGGACAACACUUGAAACAGUGGGGAAUCUUCCCAAAAGUGCCAUAAAGUGCCAGUGCCUGCCAGAAUUUCUCCAAGGGUGCAGCGACAACUCAUCCAGGAAGUCACAAAAGAUCCCACUGAACAACAUCCAAAGAACUGCAGGCCUCUCUAGCCUCAGAUAAGGGGCUCAUGACAGACAUCCAGAUCUAUGGUGCCAUAAUGUAGAGGACUCUAAGGUGACCACAUCAUUUGCUCAACUGCCACAGGAAAUGUUAGUGGCAACAGGACAGACUUCAUCCACAGAGCACAAGAAUGAACAAUCAGUUGCAUGGAGACUAUGUGGACACCUGUUGUUUACAGGGAAAAGAUGCAUUAAUUAUGUAUUACUUGGAAGUGAAAGAA